rnacentral:rRNA from 1 species
UAUUUUAAAGAGAGUUUGAUCCUGGCUCAGGACGAACGCUGGCGGCGUGCCUAAUACAUGCAAGUCGAACGAACGGAGGAAGAGCUUGCUCUUCCAAUGUUAGUGGCGGACGGGUGAGUAACACGUGGGCAACCUGCCUGUAAGUUGGGGAUAACUCCGGGAAACCGGGGCUAAUACCGAAUGAUAAAAUGUGGCGCAUGCCACGCUUUUUGAAAAGAUGGGUUUUCGGCUAUCGCUUAC